rnacentral:lncRNA from 1 species
CGUAGUCCACCUCGGCGAACCCGAGCCGCGUCCAGUCCGACACCAGCAGCGUCCGGUAGUCCGACGUGAUCUGGUACGGGUCGACGCCGCCGUCGGCCCCGGCCUCCCCGGUCGCCCACCGCCCGAACUCCGACGGCAUCCGCCUCUUCCCGUCCUUGAUGAUCUUCACCACUUCGGGGAUCGUGGAACCGGACACCUUGCCCGCAGGCGCCGAGACGCGCAUGAUGUAGUAGCAGUUGCCAUAGAACCCGGCGCCGGCGCGCGGGAGCGCGGCGUGCAGGAGGGGCCGGGCGUUCAUGGCGAAGCAGAGGUGGACGGUGGAGUCCGGCUCGAAGCCCGCCGCGCGGGUGCGGCUCUGCCACGCCUUGGCCACCAGCACCUCGAACGCCGAGCACCAGGAGCCGGCGUGCUCCGUGUUAUACUGGCUCUUGAAGUGGUUGAUGUAGUCCGCGGAGAUGUCCAUGGCGAGGUACUCGAGCCGCUUGGCGCCGGCGGGGCUGGGCAGGCUGCCGAUGACAGCGUCGGCCGGGUCGGGGAUGGCCUCGCGGCCCCACUGCGGCUCCACGGUCAAGCCCUCCACGGCGCGGCCGCGGGCGAGCUCCCCGACGGCGGCCAUGAACUGCGCGGCGCCGGGGCCGUCGGCGACGGCGUGGCUGAAGCGGAAGCCGACGACGAAGCCGCCGCAGGCGAAGGAGGUGACCUGGACGAGCAGGACGAGCUUCCGCGGGUCCUCCUCCUGGGCGGGCGUGGGCGGGAGCAGCUCAUCCUUGGCGAUCAUCAUGGGGUGGUCCAGGUACUCCACGUCCUCGAGCGCGCAGCCGGCGACGGCCUCGGUGAACCAGACGCCGCUGCCGUCGCCGCCGCAGUCGACCUGCAGCAGCCCGCCUCCCUCCGUGAACCCCAGGCGGCCGGCGAGGGGAUAAUACUGCACCAAAGCCUGCGCCAGUGCCCGCUCGAUGGUGCACGCGGGGCCGGCAUCGCCGGCGUCCCGGUGAAGAGCCGGCUUGAAGACGUGCAGCGACUCGAUGAGGGCCAUCUGGGUGGGGUAGCGGUCGAGCCAGGAGAGGCGGAGCGGGCCGGCCGGGGUGGGCUCGGCCGGGGUCACGAGGCGCUGCGCCAGCCGCUGGACGGACUUGGCGGCCGCCAUGGGUGGGUCGGAGGCAGGAAUGUUGCAAUGGGGAUUGGGCAGGAGCUGGCGAGAGGAAGAGUGGGUGGUGGGUGGCCGGAGCGGAAGAAAGCGCGUCGUAUUCAAUUCAACCGGUUGGUGCCUGGCUGGCUGGCUGCUGGUUGCUUUGACUUGGCAGGGGAGGGGGAAGCGCGUCGUAUUUAUAGGAGCGACGUGCGUGGCCGAAGUGUCUGUAGCGGUGGUGACGAGGAUGGGAGUCGGCGAGUGAAUGCGAGAAGCUGUCCGGGGUGGGAUUUUUUUCUUUUCUUUCGAUGAAGAAUGUCCGGGAUGAUAUUUUUGCGGGGCUGGGUGGGGUGGGGUGGGGUGGGGGAGCGGCGCGGCGCUUUCCUGGCGCUAUCCACUGGCAGCCUCGUGUUCCGUAGGAUAGGCAGGCUACAGCACGCGCCAGCGGUCGACCAGCAAUUAUCAUGGCACGGACGGGAGCAUCAGUUCCAUCGUCAUCGUGGAGUGCUAGCUGGUAAUGCAUCUCUGUCAGUACAGUGCUACACUAGCACGUACUCGUGCAUGUUGCAUUUGGACAUGUUAAUACUAACUGACAAUGGAAUGAACUAACUAAUCUGUUCAUUAAUCCCGCCACGGUUAGAGCAAGUACAAUAAAGUACAGUGGGUGGCUGUAAAGAUUAAAGUACUAUAUUUUUAUUGAGUUGAAUGAGAGAAAAGAGAAGAGAGAACAAAAGAGGGGCUCUUCAUUAAGAGUUAGGUCUAAUACGUGCUUCUAGGUGCUUUGUCAGAAUAAAAGGUGAGCUACAUAUAAUAAAAAUAGUACUUUUUUAUAACUAACUAAAAUACAAACUAGCUACUGUAAAAUAGACUACAAGAUGGCCUAUAUCCAACAGUUGGCUAUAUUAUUCACCAUGCUUUUAGUGUCAGCAAACGCCGGUUUAACUAAAGGUGCUGGGAGCAUAGGCUACCUGGCUCCAUCCACUUGCGGCUUCGUGUAGCACACGGCUAGCACGCAUCCGUUAAUCAGCGUGACACGGACUCCAACAACAACCUGCCCUUUUCAGCUUCAUAUUAGACCCAGUACAAUAAGGUACAGUCAGUAGGCUGUAAGAAUUAAAAUACUAUAUUUUUACUGAGUUGGAUGAGAAAAGAGGAGAGAGAAAGGAAGCCGGCUCUUCGUGAAGAGUCAGCUCUAGCACGUGCUCCUAGGUGCUUUGUGAGAAUGAAAGAUGGGUCAUAUAUGAUAAAAGUAGUACUCUUUUAAGCUAACUAUUGUACAAGUUAGCUAUAAGAUGGGCUAUAAGACUGCUUAUAGCCAGCAGUUGGCUAUACUAUUAACCAUGCUCUUAAAACAACUCCAACAGAUGCGCAACGACGUAGGCGCGUUAAAAAAAUUACAGCGUUGAAAUUUAUUUUUUACAUGUGGCAGGAUGCUCACUUCAACAGAUGCGGUAAAAUUAGAUGUGAUGCUGAUGUUUCGAUAGGCGCAUUAAAUAUGAAGUGUGUGCACUUAGUACAAACCAUAUUUCUCAUUUUUUUAAUAAAAAAAAUACAAAAACAAAAAAUAAAUCAAGCGACAAUAAAAUAGUUCAUAAGCAUACUUUAACUUAACGAUACACUAAAUAGACUAGAUAAAUAAACAACAUAGAUUAAAUAAAUAAACUAGAUAGAUAAGUACUCCUCCUCCUCCUCGCUACUCCUCACACUCAACGGUGGUGUAGUCCGUCGUUCAUGCUAGCGAUCAUCAUCACUGCUCCAUGUCAACGCCUGUCCCAGGUCGCACUGAGCUACCGUUGCAGCCUUCUGCUCAAGCAUGUUCGUCCGCUCUGCGGCUAGCACCGUCCUCUGUCGCGUUCAGAACUCACGCUCGUCGAGAACUUCCUACGGAAAGCGUUGACGGCACACCUUCAUGGCAUGCCCGUCCGUCUCGACGAUGAGGAGGCGGCGCUCCCGCCUCUGAUUGAUGUGGCGGUCCUCCGCGGUGAUUAGCCGUGGGAGAGGCACGCGGGACUGCAUCUCCUCGCGCGUCCAAACUUCCAGAAAAUUCAUCUGUGACCGCGGCCUAGCAAGCCACCACGCCGCCGCAUCGUACGCGCGGGUGGCCUCUUGGGCAGUCUCAAACGUCCACCAAAGCGCAUCUCCAAAUAAAACACGUCGGACGGGAAGGCACGGACGCCGGAAUAGCCGGAACUGCCCCGACGGCGGCGGGGGAGGGGGAGAGGUCGGCGUGGCCUGGGGGUGGAAUUUUACGGACGAGCGUGUGUGGUUUUUAUAGGGUGCGCUGGACGACGUCGCGCGUCAAAACUGUCCCGUGCGUUGCCGUUUUUCACGCGUACGUUGUUUUGUUUUGCGUAUCAGUUUUUCCCGCGUCCGCUAUAGCACGAAAACCGCCCGACGCGCAAAACAUGACGAUUUCUCCUAAGUGCGCCAUAUUUACCGCAUCGGUUGGAGAUGUUCUCAGUACAUGUUGUAUUCGCAAGUCUUUGGACUGAUAACAUGCGUGCCUGAAAUAUCAAGCUGUCUAUUCAGUUUAUGACCAACUAGCAAAAGAGCCCGUGCGUUGCAACGGGUAAGAAAAACACUCACUAAUCUAACAAUCAUGAGUCCAUAGGCCCAUGUCCUUUAUUUCGUCACAUGACAUCCCAUCUGUAUUUCUAUUUACCCUUCUUUCCACGCUCGUCGACGUUGGGCUUAGUGUUCACACCGCCACAACAUGUUUGAAUGUUGUCAAUCAUAAGAUGUCUCCCUCUCGACAAAAAAUGAUAUAUUUUUUCUGUGAGGUUUUGACGAGGCAUGCAUGCGUGAUUAUAGAUAUUGUUUUUGUUCUUCAUCCUAGUAUAUGUAUGUAUAUACAUAUAACCAUUUGCCAGCAUUACCUUCAGCGUUGCUCUCAUGUCAUCCCACAUGCCAUUCCUGCAAAAAGCAUGCAGCAAGAUCGUGUAGGUCGCUACGUUUGGAACAGAACCCUUAUCCUCCAUCUGUCUAAGGAACUGCAUGGCCGAACCAAGCCUCCCAAGCUUGCAAACCCAUGUAUCAAUAUCUUGUAAGUGUGUGCGUCUGGUGGGCAGCCUUUUGAUCCCAUUAUCUCAUACAGCUCCGUUGCCUCUGUUAGCUUCCCAUCCAAAAGACAUCCGCCAAUCACCGUGUUAAAUAACACAACAUUCAACUCCGGCACCCUCCCGAGCAUUGUGCGUGCCUCAUCCACCUGCCUUGCUUGGCACAUGCCCUGGAUAAGGAACCUGUAUGUCAUGGUGUUUGGCAGGCAGCCCUUUAUCAUCAUCCUGUCCACAAGCCUCACAGCCUCACGGAGACGCCCAAGCAUGCAUAGCCCGUGUACAAUGUUAUUGAACGUGUUGACAUCAGCAGAGCACCCCAUGAGGAACAUCUCGUCGAGGAGCAUGGUAGCCUCGGCGACCUCACCCUGCUCACACAGGGCGUGGAUGACCGUCUGAUAGAGCACCACGUCAGGCACACACCCAUGCCCUGCCAUGCUGCGGAGCAUCGCGAGCGCCUCAUCAGCGCGUCCGAGGCGGCAGAGUGCGCGCGCAGCGACACCGAAGGUAAAGGUGGUGGGUGGGAUGCGAUCCCUGUGGACCAUACGGCGGUAGAGCGCGAGCACAUUGGCAUGGAAGUUCGCCCUGGCCAAUGCCGCGAGGACGGUGUUGUACGAGCGAAAGGACGGCGAGACGGCGAAGCGGCUGGGCAACUGGUCGAGCAGGUGGAGGACGCGGCCAGGGGGCAGGGAGCGCAGCAACGGUAUGAGGUGGGUCUCCCGGAGAGGAGGGCAGCGUGUGGAGGGGAGGGGUUCAAGGAGGGAGAGCGCGCGCUCUGGGUCCGCGUCGGCUGUGGCGAGCAAGGGGCGGAGGGGGAGCGACGAGAGGACGGGGUGGGAGGCGGCGUACCACUGGAGGAGGAGGAGGAGGGAGGUGGUCGGGGACAGAGGCAGCGCGAGGAGGCGCCCGAGACGUUGCGGGGUGAGCGGGCGGGAGGAAAGCGUGCAUCAGAGGCGAGAGAGGUCGAACGACGCGAGCAGCUNNNNNNNNNNNNNNNNNNNNNNNNNNNNNNNNNNNNNNNNNNNNNNNNNNNNNNNNNNNNNNNNNNNNNNNNNNNNNNNNNNNNNNNNNNNNNNNNNNNNNNNNNNNNNNNNNNNNNNNNNNNNNNNNNNNNNNNNNNNNNNNNNNNNNNNNNNNNNNNNNNNNNNNNNNNNNNNNNNNNNNNNNNNNNNNNNNNNNNNNNNNNNNNNNNNNNNNNNNNNNNNNNNNNNNNNNNNNNNNNNNNNNNNNNNNNNNNNNNNNNNNNNNNNNNNNNNNNNNNNNNNNNNNNNNNNNNNCAUUCCACGGUGAAAAACCACGCGAUGCUCCCUCCAGCUCAGGCACGCGACGGCAACGCACCCGGUCCAUGCACGGACGCGGUCCAGACCGGGCGCGUGCUCCGUUUAACUAAGCAACUGACCGCUCCGAUCCCCUUGGCGUGGACGAGAGCGCGAGCUAGUGGCAGAUUAACCAACUGCUUAAUUACCUAAUCGACAACGACGGUGACGCCGGGGGCCUUCGAUCCACAAAAAGUAACGAUGAUGGAUGGAUGGCGAUGGCGAUCGACUAUUCUCAGACGAGGACGGACCGACGGAUGGGCGAGAGGGACACGAAAACGGAACGCGCGUGAGACAGAGACUACCCAAAGCAAAACAAAAGAAUUGUUAUUAUAGAAGGUGCUCCACUGCAGUCCAGUGGCUUGGUUUGGUGCCUGGCCUUUUGGGGUCGACACAUAUAAUUUUCUGCGAGCCACAUUUUCCUCGAGUUCUCACCUCGUUGCCCUCUGUAGGAAGAGUCAUUCGAAUCGAAAGCGUUAAAGCGGCAACGGCGCGUUUAUUUAGGAUACUCCGACCGAACACUAUACACACAUGCAUGCAGAUCGCUUUCCGAUAAAACUAAAUUAAUAGUAAGAGGGGGUAAAGAGAAGAUACACAUGCUCGUAGUAGGUUUUUACAUGCGCGCGCUUAGCUAGUUUAUCAUUAGAUUAAAGCCAAAGUGUGGAUGAUUGCAUUCGCCACUUCGCCAGCCGUCGCGUUUACGCAUCUGCUUCAUGUGUUGAUGAGAAAAAGAAACAUGCACUGAACUUGUAUAAUGUCACGCCUGUUGUGGUGUUGUAAUUUGUAAAGCAGCCAUUGAGCAAGUUGGAUGGGCAUUUUGUCUGUUUGCUGGGAUCCGGCUGCUAGCUCGCCACUCACAAGCGCACCAAACCAAGCCACUCCAACCAGGAAGUGCAUCAACUUCAACUACAAUGCUGCUACUUUAGUUGGCGAGAGUUUCAGUGUCUCGCACGUAUUCUUUUCCAUGAUAAACUAGUAUACGACUUGUCUCUCUCGUUGAGCUGUCCACCAUUAACUAGUAGUCUUAGGGAGACCUCCAACCCCGAUUCCAUCAAAUAAUUGGGGUACAUAUUGAGAUGGCACGGCGAACCGACAGAAUACCCGUUCUAGAAUACGGUCAGGACAACGCUAGAAAAUUGAAGAUAUUGUUUUCUGGCUUUCUGCAGUUGAGCGAUUAUUCUUGUUGAAACUGACUUCAAACUAAUAUAAAGUGAGUUGUUCCGUCGUAGAGAUGCACAUGGGUAGGCUACUCAUCAAUAUUUUCAAGUGUUUUGAUCUUUGUUUCUUCUAGACUACAUCCUGGUAUGUGCAUCAUUGUUAUGAGAGUUACCCAAUGAGGUGAUAGCGCCAUCAAUGCGGCUUAGUUUAAGUUACAGCCGACAAGCUAAUUCACAAGCCUAGUGCUUGUGGAGCGUUGAUCUCAGUUGCAGUCAGUGGCUGAGGUUGGCUCCUUUGUUGAAGGGACUUGAAGAAAACCAUAGCUACUCCUCUCCGGGUGUGCUUGCCAUUUGUGAGAUUGUGGAUGUAAAUGGUGGAAGCGUUCCUACCUCACAUAGGAGUGUAUGUGCGUUUACUUAUACGUGACAAUGAAUGCCCUUGUUAGAGCAUCUCUAGCAAACGCUGUAUAAUGAUCAAACCCGUAAAAAACGACCUGCUUACACUUUCGAUCGGAAAAACAGCGUGGAGCAGACCCCAUAAAACUUGUUCGAUCCGUAAACUUUUUAAAAGGCACGGUAAAUUCGUCCGCCAAAACCUUAUAUGUGCAGUUUUGUAGGCACUGUACAGUUUAACUCGUAAACUGGUCAAACCUCGUCGAAGCAGACGUGCCGCCAUGGAACUGGCCGGAAUCUAUCUGAAACUCAUCGGAAUUCGUGGCAGUAUGUCGGAAGAAGCCGCCGCACGCUGGAAUUUGCCGCCGCCGGUCCGAAUUGCGGCCAGCUUGACCUCCACUCUCGAGGCGAGGCCGUCCACGAGCAGGGCAGAGCAGGCCACCGGCGGCCCGAAUUAGGGCGGGGCGGCAUUGGGGAAGAGCGAGGCAGGGGUGGGGGAACUUGCGCGGACACAUCGGGAAACGUGCGUGCGGCGGUGGGCAUUGUCGGGCUCAAAUCGGGGACGGGCGGGCGCGCCAGAGAAUGCACGGUCGGGGCGGGCGGCGCAGGGCUCCGCCACUCCAUGCGUGGCCCGGAACAGACGACGCAGGGACGAGGUGGGGGCGAGCCGGGGUGCCAGGGUGAGGCACGCCGUGGCCGGAGACGGCUUCCUGGGACAGGACGAAAAAAGAAAAAUAUGAGCUACAGUAGGAUACAAUUUCAUUUAUGGGGUGUGCUCUGUCUCGGGCAAUUUCGCACCGUAAAAACAGUUUACAGCGCCCCUUACACGUGUUUUUAAGGGUCGACUUUUGUAGAGAUGCUCUUAGAGAAUCUACAGCCGGACCCCUCAAAUGCCCGCACAUGCGCCUGGGAACGUCCGCGGACACUUACCGGUCACGCCUCAAAUAAUGCAGUCUAUAUCCGGAUACCACAAAUUAGAAACCUCAAAUCCAUACUAUUACAUGCAACGAAAACCUAAUACUAAGCGGAGCUCGUGUGGCUCCGCUGUGUCCAUGUUCGGUGGCUUGCUGCGCCCCUUAUAGUGUCGGUUCACUCGCCGACGAGGUAGAGUAGGACAUGGGACACAAGCCGUCUCAUGGGAGUCGAGCUCCCAACGUCUCCCAUGCCACAAUCUUCCUCGUUGGAGCCCGUAAUAAGGACGGUGCUAGUCGACAUGAGGUCGAUGACAGAUCUUUCCUGGAAGGAGCCGACGUCCACCACGACGAUGUUGCGUCGACCGCAGUGCUGCACCCUACGGGGCGCCAGAGAGUGUGACUCCGCCUCUCUAACAUCCGUCACCGCGAGGGCCACCACUGCACCCCGUGCCCGCUGCCUCGCCCGGCGGGCACGCACGCCAUGACAUCGUUCGAGGUCGGCCAUGCUUCAUGCUCGGCGUGCCAACGAANGUAGAUGCGGGCCAAUGCGGGCCAGGAGGGCGUACUUAGGAUCCCCAUAUCCGCCCCAUAUUUGGGCUGGAAAUGCGGGGUGCCAGUUAGCUCGGACGUUUGAGGCCGGUUUGAGAGGCCUGUCUGGAUCGAAUUUUUGUGACCGUGCACUCACCGAGAGGUCUGCCCGGGCGUUUGAGGAGGGUUUGAGUGGUCUGGGUGUAGAUGCUCUUACGGUAUGCAAAUUAGGAUGACUGCCACAUACGUGCACCCCACUUUUUCUAGGGCUAAAUUUUAUUAUUAGCAACCAAGGCAAUAUACAGACAAUCAUUUCCCUUUGUUGGAUGAUGAGAUGGAUAAAACAUUGUUGGAUGUUCUUGUUGAUCAUCACAAUAGAGGUGAUCAUGCCCAAAAUGGGUGGAAGCCGCAUGUCUAUAAUGCUGCUAUAAAAGCGAUACGUGAUAAGUGUGGACUCGACAUCACAACAAAGGAGAAAAUAUGUUCAAGGAUGAAGACUUUUGAUAAGCAUUAUGAAGUAAUUAGCAAGAUUCUUUCUCAGAGUGGAUUUGGUUGAUAUUGGGCCAAUAAUAAGCUACUCAUGGAUAGUGAUGAUGUGUGGGACAAAUAUGUGAAGGUAAAAAAGAAUGUUCAUUUUUUAUUGUACUAUGUUAUAUGCCAGGACCUAAUUUACUAUGUAUGUGUGAGCAGGCUAAUGACAAAGCAACUUGUUACAAGAACAAGGAAGUGAAGAAUUGGGAGGCAAUAUGCACGAUAUACUCGAAAGAUCAUGUAACCGGUGAAGGUGCAAUGACUGGUGCUGAAACUGAAGUGCCACCGAUUGUACCACAUGUAGUAGCCACCGAAGCCUCGCCAGAAUUGCCCCCCAAAAGGAUGCGAACAUGUGAAGCUAUCUUGUGCAUGCUUGGAGACAUGAAAGGUACUUUCCAAGAUGCAAUGAAGUCACUUGAGCCACUAGAACUGCCCAUGGUUAAUCCUCCACUUGUAAUCCUUGUUGCCCUCGAAAUGAUACCAUAUUUGGCUCGUCCACACACACUACGAGCAUAUGGUAAACUCAUCCUUGGUGAACGCUUAUUCGAAGCGCUUAUGCAAUUGCCCAUUGACUUUAGAAAGGAAUGGUUGUUGAUGUUGAACGAGAAUAAUGGUGUUUGAUUGCUUCCAAGCGCUUGGAGAUGCUUUUUAGCAUUUGGGCUACAUUGUGGCCUUCGUUUCCUUCAUGUAAUAGCUAUGAACUUAUGGUACUAAUUAUUAGUAUGUUAUGGUAAUGAUGGAAGAAAAAUGUAUGAGACAUGAUUUACUAUGUUAUGUGUUGCUGUUUUCGUAUAAUUGUUGUUGUUUUAAGUGCUAUUGUUUGUGUACAAGUGUUGCUGCAUACAUGAUAUUCAUGUAUAACUUUGUGUGUGUAAAGUGCUGCUAUUGUACUCUGUAUAUAUAAUUAUUUAGAAAAAAUGCUCGCAUAUAUUGCAUAUAAUUUAAUUGUGAGCAUUACGUCAAAGUACAAUGGUCAUUCUAUGAUAAAUGAGUAAUCCCAAAUUCCAAUGUAGAGAAUGACCAUUCAAACAACCUUCAGAAUUGAGCCUCUCAUGCGAAUUCUAAGUGUCAAUCCUUUGCACAUCCAAACAAUAGAAUUCGGGUUCAAUGUCAAUAUCAAAGUCUGGGAGAUUUGAUAUUGGGUCCAAUUCAAUUCCAUGGUCCUGAAUAUCAACAUACAAACAAGGCAUUAGGGAAAGAGAUUUCCUCCAAGCCCAAUAUGGAAUUAGAGUCCUAGACUUUGUUGCAUAAUAAGUUUAAUCGAGAGGAGGAUCUACAAUAGAAAGCUCUCUUAGCAAAAGAAUGAUGUACAAGAUUUUUGAUGUGAGGAACAUGCUCAACUGUGUAUUGCAAUAGAUUAGGAGUAAGGUUAGAAAUCCGCUAGCGUCCGUGUUAUUUUCCAAUCACGUGAUUUUUGAAUUAAAUCUUUGGCUUCAGUUGCAUUCAUCAAGUUCCUACAAUCAGAUAGAAAAUAAACUUUAUUCCACUUCAUGCCUUGACAAAUGUAGCCAAGAGAAGUAAUCCAAGAGCUUCCGCAUGCAAGAUAGAUGAGUGUUUGUGGUUGCAGCUUGAAUGAACAUUGAAUGUAUCAUUUACUAAUUCUGAAGGAAAACUCCAAACGAUGCUUCAUUGGGCGCCACCAUCGAGUUGUACGUUGCAGAUGGUGUUGUAUGUUGCAUCGACAUAGGCUAGAAAACCUGCAUUUUGGAUAAACAAAACUAUACUUGGAACACUAUUGGUGUUGUCACCAACAAUUGUAUUUUCUUCCUCCUUUUCCUCCAUUGAACCCGCAAUAAGCAUACCUUCCGUGGCAUGGAUGAAUUGCAUAUUGCUCCAUUUUUUCCUUAUUAAAGUGAAGAUAAUUUCUUUGUUUCCAUAUGUUCCAUAGAAUGGUGAAAAUAGGUUCUAACUUAGGAUUUGGGUGUUGAACAUUCAAGAUUGUUUGAAUGAUAUCAACCGUAUAAGAAGAAGUGUUCGACAUAUCAGCUCUUAAGCCAUAUGUAUACCAAACAGAUCUAGAAAAAUCACAUUGAAAGAAGAGAUGUAAGUCAGUCUACUUGACCAUAUCUACAACAUUUUUUUAAUAUAUUUACAAUAUCUCGAAGUUUUAAAGUCUCAUGCUACAACUCUCCUAAUUAAUCUCCAUGCAAAAAAUUUAAUUGUGGGAACUAUAUUUUUACAUUUCCUAACCUGGUUGAGGACAUGAACUUCCUGGUCCGAAACAAAGGCUCUACUCCCUAUAGAGCCAUCCAGGAUUACCUGCAUAAGAGCUCUAUAAGCGCUUUUUGUAGUACAAUCUGCAUUGGGUGUGUGAGACCAACAUAUAGUAUCCUUAAGGUUAGCAUUCAUAAUACUAAAUUCAAAAUGCUUUUGAAAGAACCAUCAAAAUAAGCACUUAUCUUCUCUUCAUCCCAAACUUUGGAAUUUCGCUUCAAAUGUCCCAAAUAAUACUAGGACAAGGACCUUCUGCAUUAGAAUUGACGUGAUUAUGAAUAUUCCCCCAAUCUUUACACUAAGGACUAGUACAAAUACAAGAGUUGCCAUUGGCGAUUUGAAUUUGACUAUUCAUAAGCUUGAAAAGGAGAAUCUUAAUGUAAAAAGCCGAAAUGUUGAUUUAGGAGCAUUAUAGUUGGGUUUCCAUAUGUAACAAUUGUGAAAAUAUUUGUCCUUGAGCAUUUUUGCAAUGAAAAAAUUAUGAUUUUUAAUAAUUCCAAGCCAUCAUAGCCACCAUGGACUUAUUCAUAAUAUCCAGAUCUCUGAUUCCUAAUCCACCCUUAUGCAUAAUUUUUGGAGUCGGUUUACUUAUUUUAUCACAUAGCUAUUCCCUUUUCAGGAUUCUGGUGUAAUUUGAAAGGUUUCUUCGAUGUGCUCUUCCGGUGUAGUUACUUGAAUAACGUAUGGAUCAAUGUUAAUGGGAUUACCUGUAAUAUAAUGUUUAAUUGUUUGUCCAUUAACCACCUACAAGUUGUGUCAUUUGGUGUUAUUGAUCUUGAUGGCUUUGGAAUGGUAAACUUCUUCAACGAUAUAUGGUCCUUCCCACUUAGUGAGAAGUUUACCUACAAAAUAUCUUUAACGAGACUUGUACAAAGAAUUGGAAGAUCAUGGUGCCCCCAUGUUUGGUUUUGGUAAUUGAUGACAAUCCCUAUGGACCAGUGGUUGUCUUGAGUUAUAUUUGAAGGGUUUAUCCAAAUGCAUUACUUGAAGACCAUUUGUUGGUUUCAAGGUUAUUAGAAGAAGAUUAUGUGUUGACCAAGGGGCUAUUCAUGGAGCUAUCCAAAGAUUGAUCAUGUUAGUGUUGACCCUUUUGCAACCAUGUCUUGAAGAAGAAGAUUGUGUGAACAUUCAUGUUUACCUUCAAGACAUCAUCAUUAUGAAGAGAGAAGAUUUCAUACAAGUUUGAUCAAGACUAAAGGUAAGAGUGGAUUCAAGUUGAUCAAUACACACAUCAUAGAACACUACUAGGGUAAGCCCUAGAAAUAGCACAUGUCAAAAUACUAGCAAUAGCGCGGGCAGACGUGCUACUGCUAUGACGCUACAACUAACUUUUAGCAGUAGCGUCGGUUGCCCAAUGCUAUUGAUAACUAAGAUAGCAGUAGUGUUCUUUUAUAACCAACCCUACUACUAAUCAGGCAUAUUUAUUUUUUAUAUAUUUAUAUUGUAUUUACACACGGCUAUACAUAUUAAUAUAUAACAUCAAUAAUAAUUGUGCAAGAAACAACAUUUAUAUUGAAGUGGAUGGGUGCAAGUGAUUAGGUUGGGUUAGUAGGAAAAUUUGAUGUUACGACGGCAUACAAGUGUCAAAUGGAAGGAUUCCCUUUAUUCGACACUUGCGUGUCGUUGUAACAUCAUAUUUUCCUACUAACCCAACUUAUUCACUUGCACCCAUCCACUUUAAUGUAAUCCAUGUCAGCUAAUAGCUCAUCAUCCUUAGUAACACAACAACUUAUAUAUCAUCAUCUUAAUCAUCUAACAACUCAUGACAAGUUGACCAAUACUACAGAAUGUCAUAAACCAUAAAAUGUCCUCUCUCUUAGCUAGCACAUACUAUUCUCUCCUAGGUAGAACCUACUACUCUAUCCUAGGUAAAGUAGCAUAAAAUAGGUAAGCUCCUUCCACUCCAUUGUGGAGAAUAGAGAUCCACCCAUCUCUCACAUGUUGUGUGUGCAAAUCUUUCGCGUCCCUGUCAAGUGGUUGUGUGCGGUCUUCCAUUACUUUGCUAAAUCCUUUGAGUUUUAAGCUUGCAUACCUUCUAGAAAUCGAGUAUGCAUUGCGGAAACAUGUAGGCCAUGAUCAUAAGUUGAUAACAUUCAAAUAAUGACCCUUUACAAAUAUAAGUUCAUGCACAACCUCUGGCUAGAAUUUUUGUUAAAGAACAUAAUAAUAACAUUGUUAGCAAUUUAAUUUACCUUAAGAAAAAUCUAUGUAUGCAAAAGAUGGAAUAAUUAAUGACACAAUAGAAAAAAUAAUAUCACCAUGCUAUCUACAUGGAAGUUACUGUGGUUCAACUCAUGCACUAGUGGCACAUAUUCUGAAUAACUUCCCCCAAUAUAUUUAUAAUUGAUCUUAAAAUUACCAACAUUACAAAUAAAUGAGAUCAGAUGAUUUUUCUCCAACCAAGUUAGAUCGGAGCCAGGACUGUAAUAGGUCCGGUCUACUAUUUUUGAGUUUUUUUAAGAAACAAAAUAAGCUAUCAAUUGAAAAUAAACAAGUGAAGUAGGGAUGAAAACCAACUAUAUUUGAAUAAACAAUGCAAAUUACUUCGGAUAUAUGGUUGACAAACUCACAUAGAGGUAAAACUGGAAGCAUAUCGACAUCCACCAGAAUGUCGAUAUUACCUUCUAUAUCAUCUUCACGACGAAUAUCGAAGGUUAUUUCCAUAUCCUCCUCAAAUCCACAUGCCUUGCUUAGAGCUUCCAAAUUUGAGCAACCAAAAUGCGAGUGAUUAACUGCACUGUAUAGUUUAGCCCAAAAUGUGAAACCAUGUUUAGUCCUCAACUGAACUCUCCUCGUCUCCAUAUUCUCCAUUUCUUGGAAACCGAGCUUCUCCAAGACAUACCGUCUUGCAUGGAAAGGGAUGCACUAGUUGAACUGUAAAAACGGAAAUUACACGUUGAAGAAAAGAAACACAAAGUCAUGAUUAAUGAAGAAGAAAUUGUUGUCAUCGUUGCGUACCGUAAAAACAUCAAAGGUCUCUUCAAGCUUGAUGGUGAAGAACCUUCCGUUUCACAGGUGAGGCUCAUCGCAUAGACCACACUCUUCGCCGCAUAAAUCACACUCAGGGAUCCCCUCGUCGUCAGACAUUUUCUAUGUCCAUGAUUCAAACAUUAAAAAUCGACGACAAUUAUACGAGAAAGUGUUCAACAUGGGUUGAGUUUUGGUUUCUCGAGACUUUUCUUGAAAAACUCUCACAUGUCAUGGUGUAUAUGGUGCACACUCUGUGACCCUGACAUGGUGGUGUAUGUUGGUGGACACUCGCUCACACUAAUAUUGCGACCGUUGGUGAUGGUCGCUCCUCCCUUUGUUCUUGCAUGCAUUACUAAAAUCUCUAGCACAAGGAACAAAGGAGGAAGCGACCCCAUGACAAUAGUCAGGAUUCUUCCUCUAAUAUUUCAACUGUCGGUGCUCGUUUCUUCCUCUUCUUCUCUCGCGCAUUAUACCAAGGUAUAUAUCUCGAGAAGAAGAAGAGUGAAACGACCCCCAUGACAACAGUUGGGAUGCUUCCUUUGAUAUUUUGAUCGUUGGUGUUGGUCGCUUCCUCUUCCUCUCUCGCGCAUUAUACCAAGGUAUUUAUUGCGAGAGGUCCCAUUGUAAAAUGGGUGCCUCUAAGCAAGAAUUAAAAUUUGUGUAGGUUGCCUUCUCCGGUGCAGUUAAGUGGGUGAUUGAUGGUGGAUGCACCAAUCAUAUGACCUGAGAUGGCGCAUUGGUCAUGGACUUUAUGGAAGCUAUUUGACCAUUUAUGAGCAUUGUAUUUGGUGGAGGGUCUAAAGGACAUGUACUUGGUUUAGGCAUGGUGCCUAUCACCAAUGACAUGUCCAUUGAAAAUUUCAUGCUUGUCCAAUCCCUUAAAUAUUAUUUACUUUUUAUUCGUCAGUUGGCUUCCAUUGGUUAAUAUACACUAUUUGGACUAACGGAUGUGAAAGUAUUUAAGAGAUAUACUCUUGAAGUUUCCUUUGUGGGGGAGUUGGAUGGCAACCUUUACGUGAUUGAUUUCUCAAAAGAGAUCACAUUCCAUGCAACUUUCCUCAUGACCAAUACCGACAAGGGGUGGCUAUGGCAUCCCCGGCUAGCCCAUGUCGGCAUGAGAAAUCUUCAAGAUCACUUAAAGGGUUAGCACAUCCUUGGACUAACCAAUGCAUCUUUUGAGAAAGAUCGUCUGUGUAGUGCAUGCAUAGCCAAGAAGCAACAUCAAUCAAAGCAUCCACCCAAGAAUAUCAUGUCAACCUCAAGAAGAUUGGAGCUCCUUCAUGUGGACCUGUUUGGGCGUCCUUCAUGGGAUAGUCUGGGUGGAAAGAAGUACAUACUUAUUAUUGCUGAUGAUUACUCAAGAUAGUCAUGGGUGUUCUUCCUCAAGUACAAGGACGAGAGGAAGAUCACCUUCAUUGAUUUCACCAAGCAAGCUCAACACAAGUUUGACAAAGAAAUCUUGGCAAUAAGGAGUGACAAUGGCUCUGAAUUCAAGAACUACACCUUGGAAAAGUUUCUUAGUGGUGAAGGAAUUGAACAUCAAUACUCUGCACCAUAUACCCCACAAUAAAAUGGGGUACCAAGAGGAAGAUCACACACUUGUUGGAAUGGACAGGUCCAUGUUGGAUGAGUACAAGUCACCACAUAGUUUCUGGGACGAGGUUGUCAACACCGCAUGCCAUGCAUCAAAUCGUCUCUUCCUUCGCAAGCUAUCGUCACCAUGGGUGUAGGUGCUCUUCCAAUGAAAUAUGUCCCACAUGAAGGUGAAGAUGAGGACACAAGCACCAGUCAUAAUCAAACUACUACUACACCAACAUCAACACAAGAUUCCAUCACUCAAGAGGGUCCCAUAAUUCAAGAACAAGAACUAGAACAAGAGCAAUAUUCUACACAAGAGCAAGAUCAUCAUCAAGGACAAAAACAAGAAAGCACACAUGUUGAUGAUGAUGAACCUUAUGAUGAAGGUGAACCUCAACAAAUGAUGCAUGAAAAAGAAGAGCCUCCACCACACAUUAACAAUCCAUAUGUUGAAGAUGUUGAUGAUGGAAAUGAAGUUGAACCAAGUGAAACAAUAACCUCCAGCAUGUCUCGAGUGUUCGGUCGUGUCGACAUUGACAAAAUUCCAAGCAACCAAUCAGAAGGUAGAGUUACUCGUAAACAAUUGAAAAACUUUCAUGCUCACUUUUUGUUUGUGUCUAGUAUUGAGCCCCUGAGGGUCCAAGAAGUAUUAGUGGAUGUUGAUUAUCUUGUGGCCAUGCAAGAAGAGUUCAAUAGUUUUGAAUGCAAGAACGUGUGGACAUUGGUUAAAAGGCCAACCAAAGAGCAAAAUGUGAUUGGAACAAAAUGGAUCUUCAAGAACAUUAUGGCAGUUCCAUAGCCAUUCCGAGAUAUAUUGCCAUGCAACUUCCACCGUUCCGUUUUUUAUGACACACACCAUCUCUUCCAUAUUGCAUAUAGAGUCGUAUUUUGUUCUAGGUAUCGAGUUGUAAGUAAAUAAAAGUGUGAUGAUUUGCAUUAUUAAACCAUUGUCCCGUGAGAGAAAAGGUUGAUGGAAGCUAUGACUCCCUCACGAGUUGGGAUGAGUCUCAGGACUUUACAAAAAAAAGAGGCCAAAGAUGCCCACCAAAACAAAAUGAAAGAAAGAGAGAAGGGAGAAUGCUACUAUAUUUUUCCACACUUGUGCUUCAAAGUAGCACCAUGAUCUUCAUGAUAGAGAGUCUCCUAUUUUGUCACUUUCAUAUAACUAGUGGAAUUUUUCAUCUCAUGCAGAACCACCUAGUUUUCUUUUUGAGCUUACAUACACUUAUAGCUCUAGUGCAUUCGUUGCAUGGCAAUCCCUACUCACUCACAUUGAUAUCUAUUGAUGGGCAUCUCCCUAGCCCGUUGAUACGCCUAGUUGAUGUGAGACUAUCUUCUCCUUUUUCAUUCCAACCUCCACCAUAUUCUUUUCCACCUAUAGUGCUAUAUUCAUGGCUCACGCUCAUGUAUUGCACGAGAGUUGAAAAGGUUUGUGAUACGUAUCCAUCGUAUCUACUUUUCCAAACUCUUUUGCCCUUGUUUUGAACUCUAAUUUGCAUGAUUUGAAUGGAACUAACCCGGACUGACGUUUUCAGCAGAAUUGCCAUAGUGUUGUUUUUGUGCAGAAAUGAAAGUUCUCGGAACGUCCUGAAAAUUUACGAAGAAUUUUUCUGGAAAAUAUGAAAAAUACCUGUGCAAAGAUCCACCGGAGGGGAUGGGCCAGUGGGCCACAAGCCCUGUUGCCGCGGCCUCCCCCCUGGCCGCGGCAACCAAGCUUGUGGGGCCCACAUGGCUCUGCCGCCCCCAAACUCAGCAAUAUAAAUUCACUUUCACCCAGAAAAAAAUCAGAAGAGAAGAUUUCGUCGCGUUUGCGAUACGGAGGCGCCACCACAUCCUGUUCUUCAUCUGGAGGACAGAUCUGGAGUCCGUUUUGGGCUCCGGAGAGGGGAAAUUGUCGCCAUCGUCAUCAUUAACCUUCUUCCCUCUCCAAUUCCAUGAAGCUCUUCAUCGUUCCUGAGUAAUCUAUUCGUAGGCUCGCUGGGCGGUGAUGAGUAGGAUGAGAUCUAUCAUGUAAUCGAGUUAGUUUUGACGGGGAUUGAUCCCUAGUAUCCACUAUGUUCUGAGAUUGAUGUUGCUACUACUUUGUCAUGCUUAAUGCUUGUCACUAGGGCCCGAGUGCCAUGAUUUUAGAUCUGAAAUUAUUAUGUUGUCACCAAUAUAUGUGUGUUUUAGAUCCGAGCUUGCAAGUUGUAGUUAGCUACUAUGUGUUAUGAUCCGACAACCCCGGAGUGACAAUAACCGGAACCACUCCCGGUGAUGUCCGUAGUUUGAGGAGUUCAUGUGUUCACCAAGUGCUAAUGCGUUGUUCCGGUUCUUUAUUAAAAGGAGAACCUUAAUAUCCUGUAGUAUCCUUUUGGACCCCGGUGCCACGGGAGGGAUGGACAAUAGAUGUCAUGCAAGUUAUUUUCCCUAAGCACGUAUGACUACACACGGAAUGCAUGCCUACAUCACAUUGACGAACGGGAGCUAGCCACAUAUCUCUCCGUGUUAUAACUGUUGCAUGAUGAAUAUCAUCCAAACAAAUCACCGACCCAUUGCCUACGAGUUUGUCCCACUGCUGCUGUUACUUGUUUUGUUCUGCCGCUGUUACUUGUUUUGCUCUGCUGCUGUUACUACUAUCGCUUGCUAUUGCUGUUACUUGCUACUGCUGUCACUAUUGUUGUUCCUUGCCACUGCUAUUACUCGUUACACUGCUGCUACCUGCUACAAUUCUGGUUCGCUCGUCGUUGACGGGAAAAGACAAUUUCUGUCAACGGGCAACUUCUAGCGCCAUUGAUACGACAGUUAGGAAUAGUCUGCAAUCAACAGAUCGUUUCUGACACUGUUGUUAUCAUACUACUUUUCCGUUGAUACUUUGCUUGCAGAUACUAAUCUUUCAGGUGUGGUUGAAUCUGAUACAUUCAGCUGCUAAUACUCGAGAAUAUUCUCUCACCUCCUACCUGGCGAAUCAACAAAUUUGGGUCGAAUACUCUACCCUCGAAAACUGGUGCGAACCCACACGCUGGUGGGCCAUUGCAAGACAAUUGCUAAUUGUUGAGCAACUCGGAGUGCUAGGAGCAUUCUUUUGGCGGCGUUGCCGGAGAAGGUCUGUUGUCACAGUAGCAACAUUUUUCUGGGGCCGUUGCCGGGGAGGUAUUGCUAUAUUCUCUGAGUCACUUGGGAUUCAUAUCUGCUGAUCACUAUGAAGAAGCUGAAUGAUCCAAAAACCAAAGUCUUGCCCUCAACUACGAGGGGAGGUAAGGAACUGCCAUCUAGCUCUGCACUUGAUUCACCUUCAGUUAUGAGUAAGUUUGCGACAUCACCUCCUGCUAGAAAUCUUGAUAUGUCGCCUGUGCUUGAUGAUGCUUAUGAUGCUACUGUUGGAAUUAUGCCCUAGAGGCAAUAAUAAAUAUAGUUAUUAUUAUAAUUCCUGUAUCAAGAUAAUCGUUUAUUAUCCAUGCUAUAAUUGUAUUGAAUGAAGACUCAUUUACAUAUGUGGAUACAUAGACAAAACACCGUCCCUAGCAAGCCUCUAGUUGGCUAGCGAGUUGAUCAAAGAUAGUCAGUGUCUUCUGAUUAUGAACAAAGUGUUGUUGCUUGAUAACUGGAUCACGUCAUUAGGAGAAUCACGUGAUGGACUAGACCCAAACUAAUAGACGUAGCAUGUUGAUCGUGUCAUUUUGUUGCUACUGUUUUCUGCGUGUCAAGUAUUUAUUCCUAUGACCAUGAGAUCAUAUAACUCACUGACACCGGAGGAAUGCUUUGUGUGUAUCAAACGUCGCAACGUAACUGGGUGACUAUAAAGAUGCUCUACAGGUAUCUCCGAAGGUGUUAGUUGAGUUAGUAUGGAUCAAGACUGGGAUUUGUCACUCCGUGUGACGGAGAGGUAUCUCGGGGCCCACUCGGUAAUACAACAUCACACACAAGCCUUGCAAGCAAUGUAACUUAGUGUAAGUUGCGGGAUCUUGUAUUACGGAACGAGUAAAGAGACUUGCCGGUAAACGAGAUUGAAAUAGGUAUACGGAUACUGACGAUCGAAUCUCGGGCAAGUAACAUACCGAAGGACAAAGGGAAUGACAUACGGGAUUAUAUGAAUCCUUGGCACUGAGGUUCAAACGAUAAGAUCUUCGUAGAAUAUGUAGGAUCCAAUAUGGGCAUCCAGGUCCCGCUAUUGUAUAUUGACCGAGGAGUCUCUCGGGUCAUGUCUACAUAGUUCUCGAACCCGCAGGGUCUGCACACUUAAGGUUCGACGUUGUUUUAUGCGUAUUUGAGUUAUAUGGUUGGUUACCGAAUGUUGUUCGGAGUCCCGGAUGAGAUCACGGAUGUCACGAGGGUUUCCGGAAUGGUCCGGAAACGAAUAUUGAUAUAUAGGAUGACCUCAUUUGAUUACCGGAAGGUUUUCGGAGUUACCGGGAAUGUACCGGGAAUGACGAAUGGGUUCCGGGAGUUCACCGGGGGGGGGGGGUCAACCCACCCUGGGGAAGCCCAUAGGCCUUGAGGGUGGCACACCAGCCCUUAGUGGGCUGGUGGGACAGCCCAAGAGGGCCCUAUGUGCCUAGAGAAUAAAAUCAAGGAGAAAAAAAAAGAGGAGGUGGGAAGGGAAGGAAGGACUCCCUCCCACCAAACCCAAGUCCAACUCGGUUUGGGGGGGGGGGAACCUUCCCCCUUGGACUCGGCCGACCCCCUUGGGGCUCCUUGAGACCCAAGGCAAGGUCCCCUCCCUCCCACCUAUAUAUACGGAGGUUUUAGGGCUGAUUUGAGACGACUUUUCCACGGCAGCCCGACCACAUACCUCCACGGUUUUUCCUCUAGAUCGCGUUUCUGCGGAGCUCGGGCGGAGCCCUGCUGAGACAAGGUCAUCACCAACCUCCGGAGCGCCGUCACGCUGCCGGAGAACUCUUCUACCUCUCCGUCUCUCUUGCUGGAUCAAGAAGGCCGAGAUCAUCGUCGAGCUGUACGUGUGCUGAACGCGGAGGUGCCGUCCGUUCGGUACUAGAUCAUGGGACUGAUCGCGGGAUUGUUCGCGGGGCGGAUCGAGGGACGUGAGGGCGUUCCACUACAUCAACCGCGUUCACUAACGCUUCUACUGUACGGUCUACAAGGGUACGUAGAUCACUCAUCCCCUCUCGUAGAUGGACAUCACCAUGAUAGGUCUUCGUGCGCGUUGGAAUUUUUUUUGUUUCCCAUGCGACGUUCCCCAACAGUGGCAUCAUGAGCUAGGUUCAUGCGCAGAUGUCUUCUCGAGUAGAACACAAAAGUUUUUGUGGGCGAUGAUGUGCGUUUUGCUGCCCUCCUUAGUCUUUUCUUGAUUCCGCGGUAUUGUUGGAUUGAAGCGGCUUGGACCGACAUUACUCGUACGCUUACGAGAGACUGGUUUCAUCGUUACGAGUAACUCCGUUGCUCAAAGAUGACUGGCAAGUGUCCGUUUCUCCAACUUUAGUUGAAUCGUAUUUGACCGAGGAGGUCCUUGGAUGAGGUUAAAUAGCAACUCAUAUAUUUCCGUUGUGGUGUUUGCGUAAGUAAGAUGCGAUCCUACUAGAUACCCGUGGUCACCACGUAAAACAUGCAACAACAAAAUUAGAGGACGUCUAACUUGUUUUUGCAGGGUAUGCUUGUGAUGUGAUAUGGCCAACGAUGUGAUGUGAUAUAUUGGAUGUAUGAGAUGAUCAUGUUGUAAUAGAAAAUAUCGACUUGCACGUCGAUGGUACGGCAACCGGCAGGAGCCAUAGGGUUGUCUUUAUACUAACGUUUGUGCUUGCAGAUGCGUUUACUAUUUUGCUAGGAUGUAGCUUUAGUAGUAAUAGCAUGAGUAGCACGACAACCCCGAUGGCAACACGUUGAUGGAGAUCAUGGUGUGGCGCCGGUGACAAGAAGAUCGUGCCGGUGCUUUGGUGAUGGAGAUCAAGAAGCACGUGAUGAUGGCCAUAUCAUGUCACUUAUGAAUUGCAUGUGAUGUUAAUCCUUUUAUGCACCUUAUUUUGCUUAGAACGACGGUAGCAUUAUGAAGUGAUCUCUCACUAAAAUUUCAAGACAAAAUUGUGUUCUCCCCGACUGUGCACCGUUGCUACAGUUCGUCAUUUCGAGACACCACGUGAUGAUCGGGUGUGAUAGACUCAACGUUCACAUACAACGGGUGCAAAACAGUUGCGCACGUGGAACACUCGGGUCAAGCUUGACGAGCCUAGCAUGUGCAGACAUGGCCUCGGAACACAUGAGACCGAAAGGUCGAUCAUGAAUCAUAUAGAUGAUAUGAUUAGCAUAGGGAUGCUUACCACUGAAACUAUACUCAACUCACGUGAUGAUCGGACUUGAGCUAGUGUAAGUGGAUCAUGAACCACUCAAAUGACUAGAGAGAUGUACUUUUUGAGUGGGAGUUUAGCAAAUAAUUUGAUUAAGUUAAACUCUAAUUACCUUGAACAUAGUGUAAGUCCACUUUGAAUAUAUUUGUGUUGUAGAUCAUGGCUCACGCGACAGUCACCCUGAAUUUUAAUACGUUCCUAGAGAAAGCUAAGUUGAAAGAUGAUGGAAGCAACUUUGUAGACUGGGCUCGUAAUCUUAAGCUAAUCUUACAAGCUGGGAAGAAGGAUUAUGUCCUUAAUGCUGCGCUAGGAGAUGAACCACCCGCUACGGCUGAUCAGGAUGUUAAGAAGGCUUGGUUAGCACGUAAGGAGGACUACUCAAUAGUUCAAUGUGCAGUCUUGUAUGGCAUAGAACCGGGACUUCAACGUCGCUUUGAGCGUCAUGGAGCAUUUGAGAUGUUCCAGGAGUUGAAGUUUAUCUUUCAGAAGAACGCACGGAUCGAGAGGUAUGAGACCUCCGAUAAAUUCUAUGCUUGCAAGAUGGAGGAAAACUCGUCUGUCAGUGAACAUGUGCUCAAAAUGUCUGGGUACUCAAACCGUCUAGCUGAGCUGGGGAUUGAACUCCCGCAAGAGGCUAUCACUGACAAAAUCCUUCAAUCACUGCCGCCAAGCUAUAAAGGCUUUGUGUUGAACUACAACAUGCAAGGGAUGAACAAUUCUCCCGGCGAGUUGUUUGCGAUGCUGAAAGUCGCAGAGUCUGAACUCCGUAAAGAGCAUCAAGUGUUGAUGGUGAAUAAGACCACUAGUUUCAAGAGAAACGACAAAGGCAAGAAGGGUAAUUCGAAGAAGAGCGGCAAGCCUGUUGCCAAUCCGACGAAGAAACCCAAAGCUGGACCUAAGCCUGAAAUGAAGUGUUACUAUUGCAAGGGUAUGGGUCAGUGGAAGCACAAUUGCCCCAAGUAUCUGGCAGAUAAGAAGGCGGCCAAAGAAAAAUCAGGUAUGUUUGAUAUACAUGUUAUUGAUGUGUACUUAACCGGCUCUCGUAGUAGUGCCUGGGUAUUCGAUACCGGUUCUGUUGCUCAUAUUUGCAACUCGAAACAGGAACUGCGGAAUAGACGAAGGCUGGCGAAAGAUGAAGUGACGAUGCGCGUAGGAAAUGGUUCCAAGGUUGAUGCAAUCGCCGUCGGCACAGUUUCACUUCAGUUACCAUCAGGAUUAGUGAUGAACUUAAAUCAUUGUUAUUUAGUGCCUGCGUUGAGCAUGAACAUUAUAUCUGGAUCUUGUUUAUUGCGAGACGGUUACUCUUUUAAGUCAGAGAAUAAUGGUUGUUCUAUUUCUAUGAGUAACAUCUUUUAUGGUCAUGCACCUAAUGUGAGAGGAUUGUUCAUAUUGAAUCUUGAUAGCGAUACACAUAUACAUAACAUUGAGACCAAAAGAGUUAGAGUUAAUAACGAUAGCGCCAUAUUUUUGUGGCACUGCCGCUUAGGUCAUAUUGGUGUAAAGCGCAUGAAGAAACUCCAUGCUGAUGGACUUUUGGAGUCACUUGACUUUGAUUCACUUGACACAUGCGAACCAUGCCUCAUGGGCAAGAUGACUAAGACUCCGUUCUCCGGAACAAUGGAGCUUGCAAGUGACUUAUUGGAAAUCAUACAUACCGAUGCGUGUGGUCCGAUGAGCGUAGAGGCACGCGGCGGAUAUCGUUAUUUUCUCACCUUCACUGACGAUUUGAGUAGAUAUGGUUAUGUCUACUUGAUGAAACACAAGUCUGAAACAUUUGAAAAGUUCAAGCAAUUUCAGAGUGAAGUGGAAAAUCAUCGUAACAAGAAGAUCAAGUUCCUGCGGUCUCAUCGUGGGGGUGAAUAUCUGAGUUUUGAGUUUGGUACUCACUUAAGACAGUGUGGAAUUGUUUCACAGUUAACACCGCCUGGAACACCACAGCGUAAUGGUGUGUCCGAACGUCGUAAUCGUACUCUAUUAGAGAUGGUGCGAUCUAUGAUGUCUCUUACUGAUUUGCUGUUAUCGUUUUGGGGUUAUGCAUUAGAAACAGCUGCAUUCACUUUAAAUAGGGCACCAUCAAAAUCCGUUGAGACGACACCAUACGAACUAUGGUAUGGCAAAAGGCCAAAAUUGUUGUUUCUUAAAGUUUGGGGAUGUGAUGCUUAUGUCAAAAAGCUUCAGCCUGAAAAGCUGGAACCCAAAGCGGAAAAGUGCGUCUUCAUAGGUUACCGAAAAGAGACUGUUGGGUACACGUUCUAUCUCAAAUCCGAGGGCAAAGUGUUUGUUGCUAAAAACAGAGCUUUUCUCGAGAAGGAGUUUCUCUCGAGAGAAUUGAGUGGGAGGAAGAUAGAACUUGACGAGGUUGUCGAACCUCUCAUCCCUCUGGAUGGUGGCGCAGGGCAAGGGGAAACCUCUGUCGUUGCGACGCCGGUUGAGGAGGAAGUUAAUGAUGAUGAUCAUGAAACUCCGGUUCAAGUUUCUGUCGAACCACGCAGGUCGACGAGACCACGUGCUGCUCCAGAGUGGUACGGUAAUCCCGUCUUAUCAAUCAUGUGGUUAGACAACAAUGAACCUGCAAAUUAUGAAGAAGCAAUGGUGGGCCCAGAUUCCAACAAAUGGCUAGAAGCCAUGAAGUCCGAGACAGGAUCCAUGUAUGAGAACAAAGUGUAGACUUUGGAGGUACUACCUGAGGGCCGCAAGGCUAUUCAGAACAAAUGGAUCUUUAAGAGGAAGACGGACGCUGACGACAAUGUGACCGUUUAUAAAGCUCGACUUGUGGCAAAGGGUUUUUCACAAGUUCAAGGAGUUGACUACGAUGAGACAUUCUCACUCGUAGCGAUGCUUAAGUCCGUCAGAAUCAUGUUAGCAAUAGCUGCAUUUUUCGAUUAUGAAAUCUGGCAGAUGGAUGUCAAAACGGCGUUCCUUAACGGUUUCCUUAAGGAAGAGUUGUAUAUGAUACAACCCGAAGGUUUUGUCGAUCCUAAGAAUGCUAACAAGGUGUGCAAGCUCCAGCGAUCCAUUUAUGGACUGGUGCAAGCAUCUCGGAGUUGGAACAAACGUUUUGAUGAGGUGAUCAAAGCAUUUGGGUUUAUACAAGUGGUUGGAGAAUCUUGUAUUUACAAGAAAGUGAGUGGGAGCUCUGUGGCGUUUCUAAUAUUAUAUGUGGAUGACAUAUUGCUGAUUGGAAACAACGUGGAGUUUUUGGAGAGCAUAAAGGAUUACUUGAAUAAAAGUUUCUCUAUGAAGGACCUAGGAGAAGCUGCUUACAUUCUAGGCAUUAAGAUCUAUAGGGAUAGAUCAAAACGCCUGAUAGGAAUUUCACAAAGCACAUACCUUGAUAAAGUUUUGAAGAGGUUCAAAAUGGAACAGUCCAAGAAAGGGUUCUUGCCAGUUUUACAAGGUAAGACUUAGUGCCCAGCAACUGAUGAAGAUAGAGAGCAUAUGCGCUCCGUCCCCUAUGCUUCAGCCAUAGGUUCUAUCAUGUAUGCAAUGCUGUGCAGUAGACCGGAUGUUAGCCUGGCCAUAAGUAUGGCGGGUAGGUUCCAGAGUAAUCUAGGAGUGGAUCACUAGACAGCGGUCAAGAAUAUCCUGAAGUACCUGAAAAGGACUAAGGAGAUAUUUCUCGUGUAUGGAGGUGACGAAGAGCUCGCCGUAAAAGGUUACGUCGAUGCAAGCUUUGACACAGAUCCGGACGACUCUAAGUCGCAAACCGGAUACGUAUUUAUUCUUAAUGGGGGUGCGGUAAGCUGGUGCAGUUCUAAGCAAAGCGUCGUAGCAGAUUCUACAUGUGAAGAGGAAUACAUGGCUGCCUCGGAAGCGGCUAAGGAGGGUGUCUGGAUGAAGCAGUUCAUGACGGAUCUUGGAGUGGUGCCAAGCGCACUGAAUCCAAUAACCUUGUUCUGUGACAACACGGGUGCCAUUGCCUUAGCAAAGGAACCACGAUUUCACAAGAAGACCAGACACAUCAAACGACGCUUCAACCUCAUCCGCGACUACGUCGAGGGAGAGGACGUAAAUAUAUGCAAAGUGCACAUGGAUCUGAAUGUAGCAGACCCGCUGACUAAACCUCUUCCACGGCCAAAGCAUGAUCAACACCAGAACUGUAUGGGUGUUAGAUUUAUUACAAUGUAAUUCACAUGAUGAUGUGAGGGCUAGAUUAUUGACUCUAGUGCAAGUGGGAGACUGUUGGAAUUAUGCCCUAGAGGCAAUAAUAAAUAUAGUUAUUAUUAUAAUUCCUGUAUCAAGAUAAUCGUUUAUUAUCCAUGCUAUAAUUGUAUUGAAUGAAGACUCAUUUACAUAUGUGGAUACAUAGACAAAACACCGUCCCUAGCAAGCCUCUAGUUGGCUAGCGAGUUGAUCAAAGAUAGUCAGUGUCUUCUGAUUAUGAACAAAGUGUUGUUGCUUGAUAACUGGAUCACGUCAUUAGGAGAAUCACGUGAUGGACUAGACCCAAACUAAUAGACGUAGCAUGUUGAUCGUGUCAUUUUGUUGCUACUGUUUUCUGCGUGUCAAGUAUUUAUUCCUAUGACCAUGAGAUCAUAUAACUCACUGACACCGGAGGAAUGCUUUGUGUGUAUCAAACGUCGCAACGUAACUGGGUGACUAUAAAGAUGCUCUACAGGUAUCUCCGAAGGUGUUAGUUGAGUUAGUAUGGAUCAAGACUGGGAUUUGUCACUCCGUGUGACGGAGAGGUAUCUCGGGGCCCACUCGGUAAUACAACAUCACACACAAGCCUUGCAAGCAAUGUAACUUAGUGUAAGUUGCGGGAUCUUGUAUUACGGAACGAGUAAAGAGACUUGCCGGUAAACGAGAUUGAAAUAGGUAUACGGAUACNNNNNNNNNNNNNNNNNNNNNNNNNNNNNNNNNNNNNNNNNNNNNNNNNNNNNNNNNNNNNNNNNNNNNNNNNNNNNNNNNNNNNNNNNNNNNNNNNNNNUGUCCCACCAGCCCACUAAGGGCUGGUGUGCCACCCUCAAGGCCUAUGGGCUUCCCCAGGGUGGGUUCCCCCCGCCCCCCCCGGUGAACUCCCGGAACCCAUUCGUCAUUACCGGUACAUUCCCGGUAACUCCGAAAACCUUCCGGUAAUCAAAUGAGGUCAUCCUAUAUAUCAAUCUUCGUUUCCGGACCAUUCCGGAAACCCUCUUGACGUCCGUGAUCUCAUCCGGGACUCAGAACAACAUUCGGUAACCAACCAUAUAACUCAAAUACGCAUAAAACAACGUCGAACCUUAAGUGUGCAGACCCUGCGGGUUCGAGAACUAUGUAGACAUGACCCGAGAGACUCCUCGGUCAAUAUCCAAUAGCGGGACCUGGAUGCCCAUAUUGGAUCCUACAUAUUCUACGGAGAUCUUAUCGUUUGAACCUCAGUGCCAAGGAUUCAUAUAAUCCCGUAUGUCAUUCCCUUUGUCCUUCGGUAUGUUACUUGCCCGAGAUUCGAUCGUCAGUAUCCGUAUACCUAUUUCAAUCUCGUUUACCGGCAAGUCUCUUUACUCGUUCCGUAAUACAAGAUCCCGCAACUUACACUAAGUUACAUUGCUUGCAAGGCUUGUGUGUGAUGUUGUAUUACCGAGUGGGCCCCGAGAUACCUCUCCGUCACACGGAGUGACAAAUCCCAGUCUUGAUCCAUACUAACUCAACUAACACCUUCGGAGAUACCUGUAGAGCAUCUUUAUAGUCACCCAGUUACGUUGCGACGUUUGAUACACACAAAGCAUUCCUCCGGUGUCAGUGAGUUAUAUGAUCUCAUGGUCAUAGGAAUAAAUACUUGACACGCAGAAAACAGUAGCAACAAAAUGACACGAUCAACAUGCUACGUCUAUUAGUUUGGGUCUAGUCCAUCACGUGAUUCUCCUAAUGACGUGAUCCAGUUAUCAAGCAACACACUUNNNNNNNNNNNNNNNNNNNNNNNNNNNNNNNNNNNNNNNNNNNNNNNNNNNNNNNNNNNNNNNNNNNNNNNNNNNNNNNNNNNNNNNNNNNNNNNNNNNNGAUCUGAACAUUCACGUCACAUAAGAGGAAUUACAAAGGACACCUAUGCUAGGUAGCAUGAAAGCAUCAAAAAUUGAUUCUUAUCACUUCCCUACUCGAGGACGUUCAGGAGUUAAGCUUGGGGAUGCUUGAUAUGUCUCAAAUGUAUCUAUAAUUUUUGAUGGUUUCACGAUGUUAUCCUCUCUUCUUUGGUUGUUUUAUGUACCUUUUAUAUCUUUUUUGGGACUAACUUAUUAAUUCAGUGCCAAGUGCCAGUUCCUGUUUUUUCCGUGUUUUUGACUCUUUUCAGGUCUGAUUUUGGAACGGAGUCCAAACGGAAGAAAACCCCCGAAAUGAUUUUUUUCCCGAACGGAAGAAGAUCAGGGGGCCUUUGGGACUGGCCAGGUGGGCUCCAGGGAGCCCACAAGCCCCCACUCCGCCACCAGGGGGAGGCGGCGGUGGGCAGGCUUGUGGCCUCCCUGGCCGCCCCCUGACCUAGGUCUUUGGCCUAUAAAUUCCCAAAUAUUCCGCAAAACAUCAGGGGAGCCUCGAAAAUACUUUUCCACCGCCGCAAGCUUCCGUUUCCGCGAGAUCUCAUCUGGAGACCCUUCUCGGCGCCCUGCCGGAGGGGACUUUAGAGUUGGAGGGCUUCUUCAUCAUCAUCAUCGCCCCUCCAAUGACUCGUGAGUAGUUCACUUCGGACCUACGGGUCCGUAGUUAGUAGCUAGAUGGCUUCUUCUCUCUCUUGGAUCUUCAAUACAAAGUUCUCCAUGAUCUUCAUGGAGAUCUAUCCGAUGUAAUCUUCUUUGGCGGUGUGUUUGUCGAGAUCCGAUGAAUUGUGGAUUUGUGAUCAUAUUAUCUAUGAUAUAUAUUUGAGUCUUUGCCGAUUUCUUAUAUGCAUGAUUUGAUAUCCUUGUAAGUCUCUCCUUGUCUUGGGUUUUGUUUGGCCAACUAGAUCUAUGAUUCUUGCAAUGGGAGAAGUGCUUGGUUUUGGGUUCUGCCAUGUGGUGACCUUUCCCAGAGACAGUAGGGGCAGCAAGGCACACAUCAAGUAGUUGCCAUCNNNNNNNNNNNNNNNNNNNNNNNNNNNNNNNNNNNNNNNNNNNNNNNNNNNNNNNNNNNNNNNNNNNNNNNNNNNNNNNNNNNNNNNNNNNNNNNNNNNNACCUAUCAUGGUGAUGUCCAUCUACGAGAGGGGAUGAGUGAUCUACGUACCCUCGUAGACCGUACAGCAGAAGCGUUAGAGAACGCGGUUGAUGUAGUGGAACAUCCUCACGUCCCUCGAUCCGCCCCGCGAACAAUCCCGCGAUCAGUCCCACGAUCUAGUACCGAACGGACGGCACCUCCGCGUUCAGCACACGUACAGCUCGACGAUGAUCUCGGCCUUCUUGAUCCAGCAAGAGAGACGGAGAGGUAGAAGAGUUCUCCGGCAGCGUGACGGUGCUCCGGAGGUUGGUGAUGAUCUUGUCUCAGCAGGGCUCCGCCCGAGCUCCGCAGAAACGCGAUCUAGAGGAAAAACCGUGGAGGUAUGUGGUCGGGCUGCCGUGGCAAAAGUUGUCUCAAAUCAGCCCUAAUACCUUAGUAUAUAUAGGAGGGAGGGGGAGGGAAGAGGCAGCCUCAAACCCUCAAGGUUUGGCCGAAAUUGGAGGUGGAGGAGUCCUACUCCAAUCCUACUUGGAGCAGGAUUCCACCUUCCCACUUGGAAACUCUUUCCACCUUGUGUUUUUUCCUUCUCAAACCUUAUGGGCCUUAGUGGGAACUUAUUCUAGCCCACUAGGGGCUGGUUUAUCUCUUCCCAUAGCCCAUGAGACCCCUUGGGGCGUGACACCCCUCCCGAUGGUCCCCGGCACCCCUCCCGGCACUCCCGGUACACUACCGAUGAGCCCGAAACUUUUCCGGUGACCAAAACAGGACUUCCUAUAUAUCAAUCUUUACCUCCGGACCAUUCCGGAGCUCCUCGUGACGUCCUGGAUCUCAUCCGGGACUCCGAACAACAUUCGGUAACCAACCAUAUAACUCAAAUACGCAUAAAACAACAUCGAACCUUAAGUGUGCAGACCCUGCGGGUUCGAGAACUAUGUAGACAUGACCCGAGAGACUCCUCGGUCAAUAUCCAAUAGCGGGACCUGGAUGCCCAUAUUGGAUCCUACAUAUUCUACGAAGAUCUUAUCGUUUGAACCUCAGUGCCAAGGAUUCAUAUAAUCCCGUAUGUCAUUCCCUUUGUCCUUCGGUAUGUUACUUGCCCGAGAUUCGAUCGUCAGUAUCCGCAUACCUAUUUCAAUCUCGUUUACCGGCAAGUCUCUUUACUCGUUCCGUAAUACAAGAUCCCGUAACUUACACUAAGUCACAUUGCUUGCAAGGCUUGUGUGUGAUGUUGUAUUACCGAGUGGGCCCCGAGAUACCUCUCCGUCACACGGAGUGACAAAUCCCAGUCUCGAUCCAUACUAACUUAACGAACACCUUCGGAGAUACCUGUAGAGCAUCUUUAUAGUCACCCAGUUACGUUGCGACGUUUGAUACACACAAAGUAUUCCUCCGGUGUUAGUAAGUUAUAUGAUCUCAUGGUCAUAGGAAUAAAUACUUGACACGCAGAAAACAAUAGCAACAAAAUGACACGAUCAACAUGCUACGUCUAUUAGUUUGGGUCUAGUCCAUCACAUGAUUCUCCUAAUGAUGUGAUCCCGUUAUCAAGUGACAACACUUGCCUAUGGCCAGGAAACCUUGACCAUCUUUGAUCAACAAGCUAGUCAACUAGAGGCUUACUAGGGACAGUGUUUUGUCUAUGUAUCCACACAAGUAUUGUGUUUCCAAUCAAUACAAUUAUAGCAUGGAUAAUAAACGAUUAUCAUGAACAAAGAAAUAUAAUAAUAACUAAUUAUUAUUGCCUCUANNNNNNNNNNNNNNNNNNNNNNNNNNNNNNNNNNNNNNNNNNNNNNNNNNNNNNNNNNNNNNNNNNNNNNNNNNNNNNNNNNNNNNNNNNNNNNNNNNNNACCUAUCAUGGUGAUGUCCAUCUACGAGAGGGGAUGAGUGAUCUACGUACCCUCGUAGACCGUACAGCAGAAGCGUUAGAGAACGCGGUUGAUGUAGUGGAACGUCCUCACGUCCCUCGAUCCGCCCCGCGAACAAUCCCGCGAUCAGUCCCACGAUCUAGUACCGAACGGACGGCACCUCCGCGUUCAGCACACGUACAGCUCGACGAUGAUCUCGGCCUUCUUGAUCCAGCAAGAGAUACGGAGAGGUAGAAGAGUUCUCCGGCAGCGUGACGGUGCUCCGGAGGUUGGUGAUGAUCUUGUCUCAGCAGGGCUCCGCCCGAGCUCCGCAGAAACGCGAUCUAGAGAAAAAACCGUGGAGGUAUGUGGUCGGGCUGCCGUGGCAAAAGUUGUCUCAAAUCAGCCCUAAUACCUUAGUAUAUAUAAGAGGGAGGGGGAGGGAAGAGGCAGCCUCAAACCCUCAAGGUUUGGCCGAAAUUGGAGGUGGAGGAGUCCUACUCCAAUCCUACUUGGAGCAGGAUUCCACCUUCCCACUUGGAAACUCUUUCCACCUUGUGUUUUUCCUUCUCAAACCUUAUGGGCCUUAGUGGGAACUUAUUCUAGCCCACUAGGGGCUGGUUUAUCUCUUCCCAUAGCCCAUGAGACCCCUUGGGGCGUGACACCCCUCCCGAUGGUCCCCGGCACCCCUCCCGGCACUCCCGGUACACUGCCGAUGAGCCCGAAACUUUUCCGGUGACCAAAACAGGACUUCCUAUAUAUCAAUCUUUACCUCCGGACCAUUCCGGAGCUCCUCGUGACGUCCUGGAUCUAAUCUGGGACUCCGAACAACAUUCGGUAACCAACCAUAUAACUCAAAUACGCAUAAAACAACAUCGAACCUUAAGUGUGCAGACCCUGCGGGUUCGAGAACUAUGUAGACAUGACCCGAGAGACUCCUCGGUCAAUAUCCAAUAGCGGGACCUGGAUGCCCAUAUUGGAUCCUACAUAUUCUACGAAGAUCUUAUCGUUUGAACCUCAGUGCCAAGGAUUCAUAUAAUCCCGUAUGUCAUUCCCUUUGUCCUUCGGUAUGUUACUUGCCCGAGAUUCGAUCGUCAGUAUCCGCAUACCUAUUUCAAUCUCGUUUACCGGCAAGUCUCUUUACUCGUUCCGUAAUACAAGAUCCCGUAACUUACACUAAGUCACAUUGCUUGCAAGGCUUGUGUGUGAUGUUGUAUUACCGAGUGGGCCCCGAGAUACCUCUCCGUCACACAGAGUGACAAAUCCCAGUCUCGAUCCAUACUAACUUAAUGAACACCUUCGGAGAUACCUGUAGAGCAUCUUUAUAGUCACCCAGUUACGUUGCGACGUUUGAUACACACAAAGUAUUCCUCCGGUGUUAGUAAGUUAUAUGAUCUCAUGGUCAUAGGAAUAAAUACUUGACACGCAGAAAACAAUAGCAACAAAAUGACACGAUCAACAUGCUACGUCUAUUAGUUUGGGUCUAGUCCAUCACAUGAUUCUCCUAAUGAUGUGAUCCCGUUAUCAAGUGACAACACUUGCCUAUGGCCAGGAAACCUUGACCAUCUUUGAUCAACAAGCUAGUCAACUAGAGGCUUACUAGGGACAGUGUUUUGUCUAUGUAUCCACACAAGUAUUGUGUUUCCAAUCAAUACAAUUAUAGCAUGGAUAAUAAACGAUUAUCAUGAACAAAGAAAUAUAAUAAUAACUAAUUAUUAUUGCCUCUANNNNNNNNNNNNNNNNNNNNNNNNNNNNNNNNNNNNNNNNNNNNNNNNNNNNNNNNNNNNNNNNNNNNNNNNNNNNNNNNNNNNNNNNNNNNNNNNNNNNCUUAUACUACUUUGCUGCCAUCAACAGAUCAUUUUUGACACCGUUAUUAUCAUACUACUUUGCCAUCAACAGAUCAUUUUUGACACCGUUGUUAUCAUACUACUUUGCUGCUGAUACUUUGCUGCUGAUACUUUGCUUGCAGAUACUAAUCUUUCAGGUGUGGUUGAAUCUGAUACAUUCAGCUGCUAAUACUCGAGAAUAUUCUCUCACCUCCUGCGUGGCGAAUCAACAAAUUUGGGUCGAAUACUCUACCCUCGAAAACUCUCGCGAACCCACGCGCUGGUGGGCCAUUGCAAGACAAUUGCUAAUUGUUGAGCAACUGGGAGUGCUAGCAGCAUUCUUCUGGCGUCGUUGCUGGAGAAGGUCUGUUGUCACAGUAGCAGUUUGCUAACAGAAACAAUUGCUUGACUUGUCAUCGGGGUUGUGCAUGAUUUAGACACUUUGUGUGGAGAAGAUGGAGCAUAGCCAGACCAUAUGAUUUUGUAGGGAUAACUUUCUAAGACCAUGUUAUUUAGAAAGGACGCAAUUGCAUUGUUAGUAUGCUUGAAGUAUUACUAUUUUUAUGUCAAUAUUAGACUUUUGUUUUGAAUCUUAUGGAUCUAAAUAUUCAUGCCACAAUAAAUAAUAUUACAUGGAUAAAUUUGUUAGGUAGCAUUCCACAUCAAAAAUUCUAUUAUUAUCAUUUACCUACUCGAGGACGAGCAUGAAUUAAGCUUGGGGAUGCUUGAUACGUCUCCAAGGUAUCUAUAAUUUUUUAUUGUUCCAUGCUAUUAUAUUAUCUGUUUCAGAUGUUUUAUAUGCAAUAAUAUGAUAUUUUAUAUUAUUUUUGGGACUAACCUAUUAAUCUAGAGCCUAGUGCCAGUUUCUGUUUUUUUUUCAUGUUUUUGUGUGAAUAUUAAACAGAGUCCAAACGGAAUAAAAUCUUCGGGAUGAUUUUUCUUGGACCAGAAGCAUCAUAGAAAACUUGGAGAUGAAGGUAGGAGAGCCGCCGUAUGGCGACAAGCCACAGGGGCGCGCCAUAGGGGGGGCCAAGCAUGUGGACCCAUGGCAACCCUCCUAACCCUAUUCUUCGGCCUAUAGAUUCCCAAAUAUUCCCUGGAUACCAAAGAGAGCCACGAAAAUACUUUUCCGCCGCCGGAAGCCUCUAUUCCCAUGAGAUCCAAUCUUGGAGCCUUUUCAGGUAAUCUGUUGGAGGGGGAAUCGAUCAUAGAGGGCAUCUACAUCAACUCCAUUGCCCCUCCGAUGAUGCAUGAGUAGUACACCACGGACCUUCAAGUCGAUAGCUAGUAGCUAGAUGGCUUCCUCUCUCUUUGUUCUUCAAUACCAUGUUCUUCAUGGAGAUCUAUCCGAUGUAAUACUCUUCCGGUGUGUUUGUCGAGAUCUGAUGAGUUGUGGUUUUAUGUUCAGAUUAUCUAUGAAUAUUAUUUGAGUCUUCUCUGAAUUCUUAUAUGCAUGAUUUCGUAUCGUUGCUAGUCUCUUCGAGUUAUUGGUUUGGUUUGGCCAACUAGAUUGGUAAUUCUUGCAAUGUGAGAAGUGCUUAGUUUUGGGUUCAAUCUUGCAGUGACCUCACCAGUGACAAAGUAGGGGUAGCGAGGCAUGUAUUUUUAUUGUUUCCAUCGAGGAUAAAAAGAUGGGGUUUUCAUCAUAUUGCUUUAGUUUAUCCCUCUACAUCAUGUCAUCUUACCUAAUGCGUUACUAUGUUCCUCAUGAACUUAAUACUCUUGAUGCACGCAGGAGUCGGUCGAUGUGUGGAGUAAUAGUAGUAGAUGUAGAAUCAUUUUGGUCUACUUGACACGGACGUGAUGCCUAUAUGCAUAAUCAUUGCCUUGGAUAUCUUUAUAAUUAUUCACUUUUCUAUCAAUUGCUCGACAGUAAUUUGUUCACCCAUCGUAUUAUUUUUCUUCAUGAGAGAAGCCUCUAGUGAAACCUAUGGCCCCCGGGUCUAUUUUCCAUAUUAUACUUUCAAAUCUAUAAACCAAAACUACCAAAAAUAUCUUGUUGCAAUUUAUUUACUUUUGUUUUACUUUUCGUUUCAGCAAUAUUUUAUAUUUAUCUCUAACAGAUCUCAUCCUUGCAAGUAAACGUGAAGGGAUUGACAACCCCUUUUUAGCGUUGGUGCAAGCGUUCGAUUGUUUGUGUAGGUGCAAAGACUAGGGCCUUGCUUGUUCCUCCUACUAGAUUGAUACCUUGGUUCUCAACAAACUAAGGGAAAUACUUAUCUACUUUGCUGCACCACCCUUUCCUCUUCAAGGGAAAACCAACGCAAGCUGAAGAAUUAGCAGUACAGUCUCCAUACCGGAUGUUCGGCCUAUGACUCAGAUGUGCAUCCAGUGCCAACCACUUAUUCUAUAAUUAGGUGCCAUAAUCUCACUACCACUAUAUAUAGCCUUCUUAUACAUCAAGAUAAGGUUGACCAUUCACUUUGAGCUAACCCUAGAACACAUAUUUCUCUCUCUCACAUCCUCAUACACCAAAUCCAAGAUCCCAGAGGCAUUUGAGAGUACUUGUUAGAAGUGCUCCAAUCAAGUGACAUAUCCACUCCUUCCCCUUCUCUUGACCAAAGGAAUUUGUGAUUUGAGCAAGUCUUCAGAUUUUCCCCUUCGUUCUUGUUACUCUUGGAGGUUGUAGACUCCUAGGUGGUUGCAGUUCUUCAGUGAGGAAUCAACCAUUGUGAUUAUCGUCAGAAAGUUCGUGAGGGUUUGCAGACCACCCCAAUGUCUACUACUAGUGGUUGAUAAAUUCCUUUGUGGUGUUGUCUAAAGGAGAGAAUAUGGUGAGCCUUCGUGACAUUGGUGGGUGCCUUUAUGGUAACAUCCACCUCUCUAAACGUUGAAGUAGAUUCCCUUCAAGGAGUGAAUAUUAGCAUACACCCUCGUCUCUCGGAGUUGCGGUUAUUCCUAACCUUAACUUUCUACUUGUUGUUACUUGUUUCUUGCACUUACUUGUAUUACAUUAUUCUUACCUAUGUCUUUACUUUUUGCUUUGUUAAUCUACUUUGCACCGUUAUCAUCUUAGCAAUUGUUAGGGUCACUUUCAUAUUCCCCAAUAUUGCCUAAAAUUGCUAAGUAACAAAUAAAAUUUGGAAUUAUACCUAUUCACCCUCCUCUAGGUCCAUCUCAAUCCUUUCACAACUCAUUGUAGGAUAAGUUCAUUUUUAUCAUUAGGAACAAUGGUAAUGCCACAUUUCUUAGGGACACAAUGAACAUGACUUAUACAUCUACUAUCAACUAUAGAAUAAAUUAUAACUGCCACUAGGAGCUUUAAUAUUUCAGUUCUUACCACAUUGUUCAUUUCAGGAUUCAAGCAACAUUGACGAUCGAUGACUGCUUUAGACUUGGGCUCCAAAUUAAUUUUGUGUUGACACAUAAAUCAUGAGUAUUUCCAAUUACAGCAGGAUGUUUCUUCAAAGUUUUCAAUAAACUCUUUUUUUGGUGUACUCAAGGGUUAGCAUUGAUAAUAAUAGAAUAUAUUUUCUUUUCAUCCAUAGAAGCAUAUUUCAAAGUAUUUGCGCUUUUCUUUAGUUCGAACACAUGAUCACUCGUAGGUGGACGAGGAUCUCCAAAAAUUUCAGCAGGAAAAUUAUGCUUAAGGAUAGGUUGUUGCCUAAAAAAUAUUUCAUCUAUUUCAUCGCUUUCAUUCAUAUGCAUAUCAUUUUCAUGAUCUAACAAAUAUUGCUCUAAUGGAUUGUAGGAGGCACAACUAUAGAAGCAAGACCAAUAAUAUCAUCUUUAUUAGGUAAAUCUUUAUCAUGAGGUUGUCACAUGAACUUAGAUAAAUUAAAUUCAUGAGAUACAUCAUCAAACUUCACCUUUACCUUUUCCUUAACACAAUAAUUUCUACAUUAACCGUGUUCAAGAAGGGUCUACCAAAUAUGGCGGGUCAAAAAUUAUCUUGUUGUGAACCAAGUACUAGGAAAUUAGUAGGGUAUUUAAUGUUACCACACAAGGCUUCAACAUCUCUAACAAUCCCAAGCAGUGAAAUGGUAUCCUUAUUAGCAAACUUAAUAGUAGUAUCAAUCUCCUCUAUGUGAGGAGGUUAAAUAUCAUGCAUGACUUCUUGAUAGAGAGAAAGGAAUACCACUUAUACUAGCACUCAUGUCACAUAAACAAUGAUAGCAAUGAUAUCCAAUCUUAACAGAAACAACAUGCAUGCCAACAACUUUCUUAUUCUUAUGUACCAUAUCUCGUUCACUUCUAAUAGCUUUAGCUAUUCUAACAUCUUCGUCACAGAAAUAUAUAACAUGCCCCUAAAUAUUAUUAACCAAGAAAUUUUUACCAUAUAAAUAGGACGUUAUAUUUUAAUUUGGUCAAAGGUUUUAGAUUCUUUAACAUUACUAUUAUGAAAAGGGGGCAGGGUAGUCCAGGACCAAGGGGUCCUCGGGUUGCCGAUCUAUCUCUAAUGGGCCACUUCGGGAAGCCGAUGACAUAUGCGAGGAUGAUUCCACAAGACUUGGUGAUCAAGACAAGGACUCCACCAACGCGUCCGACUAGGACCCUUGUUAUCCUAGUUCUUCGGUGCAUUAUAUAAGCCGAUGCUAGGCUAGUCAAUAGAUCAUUAUAAUGAUACGUCAGCAGAACCAUCAUCUAGGGUUUAGUCCAACAGACCUCGUGGUAGAUCGAGUCUGUAACCAUCAUACACUCAUGAAUAUAAUCGAGCAUGACACAGGGGUUUACCUCUUUGAGAGGGCCCGAACAUGGGAAAAUGUUGUCCCCAUGUUUCGUGUUACCCACUGAUCCAAGAUUCACAACUCGGGACCCCCUAGUCGAAAUCCAAAAGUUUUGACACCGACAUUGGUUCUUUGUAAAUAUAAGCAGUACACACAACAAUAUUAGCAGUGUAAGCGAGUAUUUCAGUAUUGUAAAUUAUAUGUUCUUCAAAAAUACGUGUGAUAGGUGGAUGUAAUUUAAACAAUUUCUAUUUAGGAAGAUCAACAUGAACAACAAGAGAUUCAUAGAAUGUAGCACUAUCUCACAAUCAAGUCCAUGUUUUGCACAAAGCUUAACAAAAAUAUUUGUUUCUAAAAGAGACUUAACACAAUCAUAUUAAAGAUUUAUAAUUGACUCAUUACCUUUGUCGACCUCUCGUUCUUCAAAUUUGUGUUUAAUUCCUUCAAUAAUAUAUUACUUGAAUUCAAUACUUCCUUGUGAGAAACAACCACCAAAAAAAGAAUCAAGUAUUGCUCUAUCAUUACGAGAAAGACAAGCAUAAAAGUUUUCAAUAAUCAUAUUGCAUCAUUUCCUUAAGCCUCACCCAAGGUUAUAUAUAUAUAUAUUCUCAUUACAUGAACCAAGUGCAUAUGAUAAAUUUCUGGUGGAAUUCCAGCUUCGUUCGGUUCGAGUCCCAUGAAUUGGUAUCAUCCAAUAGCCUAUACCAUGUAAAUGGUAGUCCCUUUAAAUAUCAAGGGAAUGAUUUCUCUUAACCUCAUCCAUUAAUAAACCUACAAGGUUAAACAAACCACAAAGUUCAUCCAUAUAGAUUAAAUGCAUAUAAGAAUGUGUUGUUCUAUCGCCUGUAUAGGGACUGUCAUGCAAUUUUUCCAUAAUAUAAAAACGGAUGGCAUAAUAGAAAGUUAGUAGGAUGAGGAACAAUUUUUACCGCAUCUUGUCGAGGUGAAGAUACCUGUAUAAACCUCUCAAAGGAUUGUCUUCCAUACUAACAAGUGAAGCUAAAUUUCAGCACGUAAUAUAAAUAUUUACUUACCAAAUUCCAAUUACCAAGAGUGCUUCACUCCCCGGCAACGACAUGAGAAAAAAGUCUUAAUGACCCACAAGUAUUGGGGAUAGACCAUCUUACUUUCGAUAAGUAAGACUACGAAACCAAUGAGGAGCAAAAGGAAUCACUAAGUAUUUUCCAGCAAGGUAUUCUCUCCAAGUGUUGCUAAGUAGUUAUUAUAGAUAGUUUGAUGGCAAUAUAAUUCGUAGAAAGUAACAACUAACAAAAUUAACAAGGUGCAAAAAGUUGGCCCAAUCCUUUCAUUCCGAAGAACAAGCCGGAAGUACUUCUUAUAAUGAUUAAAUCGUUCGCGAGGACACAUGAGAAUAUUGUGUAGUUAGUUUUACCAUGAUUCAUUGAAUCGUGUUCAUUGCUUUGAUAAGUUAUUAUGUGGGUAGGCCGGUGCUAAGGUGUUGUUCUUGCUUGAACAAAAAACCUACUUAUGAUUACACACUCUCGCAAGCAUCUGCAACUAUAAGAGAAGAAUUAAGAUAAAUCUAAUCAUAGCAUCACACAUAUGGACCCAAACAACCCCUUACAAAAUAGCUCAUAAACUAGGGUUUAGGCUCCUUUCAGUCCCGCAUCCAUCAUCUACUAAAAAAUCCCAUAAUGUCUUCCCUAGGCCCAAAUAUGGUAAUGUGUCAUGUAGUCAAUGUUCACAUAACACUACUAGAGGAAGAACACCACAAGAGAUCAUCAAAACAUUAAACAGAAACCAACUUCACAUGAUUACUUAUAACAAGACUUCUCCCAUAUCCUCAAGAACAAAUGGAACUACUCACAAAUCAUGGAGGAUAAAUAUAUGAUAAACAAUCUAAACAUAUAAUCUUUCACGAAAUAAACAAACUAGCAUCAACUACAAAAUGUAAUCAAUACUAUUAUAACACAAGUUUGGGACAAAGAUUGGAUGAAGAGAUGAAUUAGGGUUUGUAGAUGAGAUGGUGCUGGUGAGAUGUUGAUGGGGAUGAGUAUUUGCAUGAUAAGGGGAACGUUGGUGAUGACAAUAGCUUCGAUUUCCCCAUCCUUUGAGGAAAGUUUCCCAAGCGGAAUCGCUCCAUCGGACAGCUACACUGCUCCUACCCAGGUCCAGCUUUGAGACGGUGGCGCUUUGUCCCAGAAGUCUCUUAUGAUUUUUUUCUAUGGAAAAUGACAUCAUAUAGUGAAAGAUGGGCAUUAGUGGACCCCCGGGGCACCCACAAGCUCACAUGGCGCGCCCCACGGGGAUGGUCACACCACCCGAGCUUGUGGGCCCGUGGAGGCUCCUUUGUCGUAUAUUCUUCUUCCAGUUUUUUAAAAUACUACAAAUAAAUAAUCGCAAGUUUUUAGGUCAUUGGGAGCUCCGGCGAAUAUGCAUCUGUUUUGUAGAUCUUUUUAGGUCUGGAAUACCAGCUGCCAUCAAUCUCCCUCAUGUGAUAGAACUUGCAAUUUAAGAGAAAACGACAUUAGGGUUGCAUCAAAAAGUGAAAUAUAACUCUAAAACUUAUAAAUAACAGUAAAAAAACAUGAUGCAAAAUGAACGUAUCAUGUACCACUAGGUGAAGACCCUAGCAAGACCGACAAAAUUGGCAGGCAACUUUCCGCCAAAUAGGUAAGCAUGCAUGCUACCUUCCUUCGAAAAGACUCUCACAGUUUUGUGUAGCCGUGAGAUAUUCCCACGGUACCCACGAAGGUGAUUGAACAACAAUUGUCCGUGUUCCCAAGUGCAUGACCCGUCCGAUAGAAGGCAUGUCGGCACACGCUAGGAUUUCAUCUGAGGGGGGUUGAAGCGUUCCUAAAUACCCGCUUCACGAGGGAGGUGAUCCACCUUGAUUAAUUGGCCAACCCCGUCGUUCUCGUCCUGAAGGACAACAAGAAAGAGACGAAAACCAUAGUUGCCAUGUGUGAUUGAUUAGUUGCCAUAUAUGCACAAUUGUAGUUGCCAUGCAUCACCGUACGAGCGUUGGGUGGGCGAAGAGUAGUUCACCCACAUGACAACGUGAGAAGUCAUGCGUUAAUGGACUGCAUGGUUUCCGUGUGGACGAGGACCGGUUCACCCACACUCGCGAAGCUGGCAACCACACGUUGCGGGUCGUGCAAGGCCGUUUGGAACCCCACACACACCACGCUAUGCCUAUGUGGCACUAAAUUUCCAUUAGAUCCCUGCAAGAUUCGUGCAAUUUAGAACCAACUAUGAUUAGGGCGUGUAAACCAAGUGUUGAAAUGCCACACGUGUGGGCCUUAUCAUUUGGGUUUUGCUUGCUUUGGACGGGAGAAUAAGGACAACUCUAAAGCACAAUCCCAAAUAGUCUGGCCUUGUCCAUUUGGGGGUAAACGGACAGAAAAGGCCGCCCAACUCGCGGGAGCAAAGUGACCAAUGUUCGUUUUUGGUCUGCUUUUGACCCGUUCUCGUCCCAACUUUGGGCCGCAAUUGUGGCCGAACGGACAUGUGCGGCCGCCGCAUGGCGCGUGCCCAUGUCCUUCCUUGGCCCGCUAGUUGGGGACACAUGCGACACUUUUUCUAUUCCACCCCUUCCAACUUCACCCCACCCCAUUUCCCUCUCAUCCCACGCGUCAUCGUCACCAUUUUUAUUGGUCGUCCGAUGUCCAGCACGGCCUAUGAGCCCACCCCUUCCCUUGUCAUAGCCCCCUUUCCUCGAUGUCCCGAGCAGUCCAACCUUGGACGCUAGAUUUCACUGCAUUUGGUGACCGUAUUAGGAGCAGAUCAGGCCGGAUUGUAGUUCACACCGGCUGUCGGUGGUCGCAUAGUGCCAUGGACUGGCCAGAUACCAGUCCGCAUAGUCCCGGCAACGCCCCGAGGGUGGAUGCAGGUACUGACUCUGCCUCUAGCUGCUCAGAUCUACCUCGUCGUUGGUUUGCCGGAAAUACACCAACGACCGUCGUCCGGGCUCGGUGCUGACCCAAAUGCUUGUCGGCGCACCGAUGCCGCUCAUGAAGUGCGAAGACUGUCCACGGAAGGUCAUGCGCCGUGUGUCUACAACGCCGAAACAUGUCAGAUGGGUGUUUAUCAAGUGCAAAAAUGAUGGGGUAUGUGCUAGUUUAGCUUUGGUUGUGUUCCCGGAGUGUGUUCGUUUUUCUUACACUCAAAUAUUUAUUGUGUAAGAUGGAUGCAACUUUUGUUUUUGGAAAAAGAAUACAUUGAUAUACUGAAAGCGCAUAAUUUAAUAGAUGUUCGUGCACUUCUUGCUAGAGUACAUGCUAGAUAUGAGACUAGAUGUGAAUAAGGAAGCAUGCAAGAUCGGGACUCCGUAGAUCAACAAUUAACGCAUUGAGAAGGCACUAAUCCAACUUAUGAAAGCAGUUGUGGAAGUUGGAUAUCUUCUAAAAUUGAUUCUUAUAGUUCUCGUUUCCUUUGUUGUGUUAUUCUAAUCAAAAUUUGGUGAUGUAUUCCAAUGUAUCAAAGAAUCGAUGAUAAAAAUAAUAAAAAAUGUGUUGCAAAAAUUGUAUACGGACGAGAUGGAUUUGAAAUUCAGCCGCACAUUAGACACACCACCGCCGCAUUCAUAAAUUCAGACAGACGCGGUUUUAUUGUCACGCCUAAACGGACAAAAGACGGACAAAACACAUGUUGGUUUGAAGACUUGGUCGGAGUUGUCCUAAGGAGGGAUUUUUCAUAGGUAUCGAUCGGUGAAGUGAAGCAUUGGAAGGGACUAUUCAGUCCAUGAGGACCACCACGUCCCGAUUCCAUGCCCCAACUAAUUAAACAGGAGAACGACGGCUAGGGACUGGCAAAGCCAGGUUUAGAGUAAUGGAUGGGUGUACAGAGAUGAAGAUUAUUGUUAUCUUGGUAAAUGCUUUCGUUAAGCAUUCAGCUACACAGGCUUACGCUGAGAUCCAAAAUUACCUUGUGCACAAGGGAAGAAUCUAUAGAACUUCUUUCAGGUCCAAGAAAAUUUUAUAUACAGUUCAAAAAAAAAUACCGUUCAUAAAAAAAGUCCAGGAAGAUUAACCAGCACUAGGGUUUUUGCCACCAACUACACCAACCAGUCGCUUGUCCCAAUCGAGUGGAUCAACUCGCCUAACCUGCACGCAGUCUAUGCAUGGACCCGGUAGCUUUCGUGCCUCGGUUACUUUGUACCCACAGCUCCCAGAAGGAACACGCGCCUUGCCCUCGGAAAUGUGUAACAAGUCGCAACUCAAAGUCAAGACGAUCUGCAAUGGAAAUAAGCCGAUGGACGUACAUGAUCACAGCAAACGUCUUUCCCGCCUUUUCCACGGCAAUCUCGGAGUUGUUAGGAGAACGAAAGCAAACCUGCUGUGCCUGGUUGCAAGCAAUUGGAUAGAGCUAGGAAAGCUGCGCUCCACCAUCUUUUGACCCCGACGGCUCGACGUAGGACCGACCUUCGCCUCGCACGAGCAACUGCGGAAGCCUCGGUCAGCUCCAUCCGACUCUCAUCCUCGUCACCACCAAGAGCCUAUGCUAACUCCGGCACCAACACCCCUUAUAAAUACCACGCGCUUCCCCCUUCAAUGCCAAGUCAAGCAACCAAAUCCAAACCAAGCCAAGCAAGGAGCAGGGAGCGCUGCCAAGCAAGCUUACCAAUACUGUCUCCUCCGCCUGCGUCCACCGAUCACUUCUUUUCUUUCUCCCACCGAUGGCGGCCGUGAACAAGUCCGUCGACCGGGUGGCGCAGCGCCUGGUGGCACCGGCCGAACCCACGCCUGUCGGCCCGCUCCGCCUGUCCUGGCUCGACCGCUACCCUACCCAGAUGGCGCUCAUCGAGUCGCUGCACGUCUUCAAGCCGGCUCUUGACCGGCAUUUUGACGGCGGCGACGUGGCUGGCCCGGCGAGGACCAUCGAGGGGGCAAUGGCGCAGGCUUUGGUGCAGUAUUAUCCGCUCGCCGGCCGCCUGGGAUUCACGGAGGAAGGGGGGCUGCUGCAAGUUGACUGCGGCGGCGAGGGCAGCGGCGUCUGGUUCACGGAGGCCGUGGCAGGUUGCGCGCUCGAGGACGUGGAGUACCUGGAGCACCCCAUGAUGAUCGCCAAGGACGAGCUGCUCCCGCCCACGCCCGCCCAGGAGGAGGACGAGCGCAGGCUCGUCCUGCUCGUCCAGGUCACCACCUUCGCUUGCGGCGGCUUUGUUGUCGGAUUCCGCUUCAGCCACGCCGUCUCCGACGGCCCCGGAGCCGCGCAGUUCAUGGCCGCCAUAGGGGAGCUCGCCCGCGGCAGCACGGUGGAAGGCUUGACCGUGGAGCCGCAGUGGGGCCGCGAGGCCAUUCCCGACCCGUCCGGCGCAGUCAUCGGCAGCCUGCCGAGCCCCGCGGGCGCCAAGCGCCUUGAGUACCUCGCCAUGGACAUCUCCGCGGACUACAUCAGCCACUUCAAGUCCCAGUACAAUACGGAGCACACCGGAUCCUGGUGCUCGGCGUUCGAGGUGCUAGUGGCCAAGGCGUGGCAGAGCCGCACCCGCGCGGCGGGCUUCGAGCCAGACUCCACCGUCCACCUCUGCUUCGCCAUGAACGCCCGCCCACUACUGCACGCCACGCUCCCGCGCGGCGGCGCCGGGUUCUACGGCAACUGCUACUACAUCAUGCGCGUCUCGGCGCCCGCGGGCAAGGUGUCCGGCUCCUCGAUCCCGGAAGUGGUGAAGAUCAUCAAGGAUGGGAAGAGGCGGAUGCCGUCGGAGUUCGGGCGGUGGGCGACCGGGGAGGCCGGGGCCGAUGGCGGCGUGGACCCGUAUCAGAUCACGUCGGACUACCGGACGCUGCUGGUGUCGGACUGGACGCGGCUCGGGUUCGCCGAGGUGGACUACGGCUGGGGGCCGCCGGCGCACGUCGUGCCGCUCACGAACCUGGACUACAUCGCGACGUGCAUACUGGUGAAGCCGUGGGCGCACAAGCCAGGGGCGCGGCUCAUCACCCAGUGCGUGACGCCCGACCGCGUCGCCGCCUUCCACCAAGGGAUGCUCGACAUGAACUGACCGGAGCCGAGCACGACGACGAAGCCAAAGGAGAAAUCGAAGAGGAAUUGACUUGAUUGCGUGAUUAAUUAUUGGGUUGGUUGUUUGGAUAGAUUGAUGUAGGGUGGUGGUGUGUAGUUUAACUGGAAAUAAGCUCCUCGAUUCGGGGGGUUGGGUUGUGAUUGGAUUUGGUGGGAAAAGCCACCAACUAACUAAUCCUUCGUGGAAUGUAAGAAUCAUUUGUGACAUGUUAUUAUACUAGAGAAAUUUUGCUUGUCUUGUCGAAUAGCUGAGAUCCACGGCGGUGGUGACUUGUGA